GUGCCAGCAGCCGCGGUAAUACGGAGGGUGCGAGCGUUAAUCGGAAUUACUGGGCGUAAAGCGCACGCAGGCGGUUUGUUAAGUCAGAUGUGAAAUCCCCGGGCUCAACCUGGGAACUGCAUCUGAUACUGGCAAGCUUGAGUCUCGUAGAGGGGGGUAGAAUUCCAGGUGUAGCGGUGAAAUGCGUAGAGAUCUGGAGGAAUACCGGUGGCGAAGGCGGCCCCCUGGACAGAUACUGACACUCAGAUGCGAAAGCGUGGGGAGCAAACAGGAUUAGAUACCCCAGUAGUCC
rnacentral:rRNA from 1 species